rnacentral:tmRNA from 1 species
GGGGGUGAAAUAGAUUCGACACAUGGGGACGUGUACACAUUGCAAGUCGCGGCGCUCUGACCGCGUGAACAACGGAGCUAGCACACAUAAGUGCCAACCAAAACACAUUCGCUCUUCCCGUCGCUGCAUAAGUAGCUGACCGGAGAGUGCUAGCCCCGAAGUGGCUAGCCGUCUGCCCCAUCCGUCUUCGUCCGGGUGGUUCGGUAGGCGACACCAAAGACGAAGUGCGACCUCACCGAUGCCGAUAAGUGAGGCCAAGCGACAUCGGCUAGUUGACGGUUUACCCGGUUGGCCGGGGCUGCCGUCGGCGAAUGUAAAAGGCCAACUAAACUUGUAGAGAUGUGUAGGCCAGCCAUGUGGACUCGGGUGCGACUCCCGACACCUCCACUA